AUUGAACGCUGGCGGCAUGCCUUACACAUGCAAGUCGAACGGUAACAGGUCUUCGGAUGCUGACGAGUGGCGAACGGGUGAGUAAUACAUCGGAACGUGCCUAGUAGUGGGGGAUAACUACUCGAAAGAGUGGCUAAUACCGCAUGAGAUCUACGGAUGAAAGCAGGGGACCGCAAGACCUUGUGCUACUAGAGCGGCCGAUGGCAGAUUAGGUAGUUGGUGGGAUAAAAGCUUACCAAGCCGACGAUCUGUAGCUGGUCUGAGAGGACGAUCAGCCACAAAGGGACUGAGACACGGCCCAGACUCCUACGGGAGGCAGCAGUGGGGAAUUUUGGACAAUGGGCGAAAGCCUGAUCCAGCAAUGCCGCGUGCAGGAUGAAGGCCAUCGGGUUGUAAACUGCUUUUGUACGGAACGAAAAGCCCUGGGUUAAUACCCUGGGGUCAUGACGGUACCGUAAGAAUAAGCACCGGCUAACUACGUGCCAGCCGCCGCCGUAA
rnacentral:rRNA from 1 species